rnacentral:lncRNA from 1 species
UAAUUUUUAAAUUGACCAAUUCAACUGUACAACACAAGGUAUUUUCACAUCACAUCACAAUUAAUUAGUCUAUAUAACAUCGACGCCAAAGUUCCCAAUCACGAUUCAUAGUUCACAUUCCCCAUAAGCUAAAAUAACACAAGCUACAUCACCACCUGCUACAACAUGUAGCUUCAAUACACACUAAGAAACAGAUUAACAAAUGAGUGGUCUUGAUCCAAACAUAAUUGUACAGCUCUCCUCUUCAUCAAAGGCACAUUUGCCGAAGGCUUUUUCUCCCGACUUAUUGUAGGUGGCUAGAGUUGCUCUGGUCCUUAUUUGUUCAUCCCAACUUUUUGAAAGAUGACUUGCAUAUCAUGCCAUUACAAGAAUAAGGCUAGAAUUUGCAACAAAUACAUAAACAGAUCGGUAAGCAUGAGUUACAAAAAAACAUCUAUCAUUGCAACAAAAUUCCACAGUUUAGUACUAACCCUGUUCUCCUGACUGUAGCUAUGUAAAUAUUACCUAAAAUUCAACAUUUUACAAUACACUACUUUUCGUAAUAUCCAUCAUGACAUUUUACCUAUACUGAUAAGAGAACCAUAUCCAAAUGAAAUGACAAAUAAAUUUAGUGGCUCGAGAUAUCAAACCAAAACAAAAGAAGCCAUUAUCCUUCUAACACAAACCACCAAGAUCAUUACCAUCAAAGAUCUGCUUGUCAAAUAGGAUCCCAAUUUGUGAACGAUCCAUUUUCUUCGAAAGGAAGCAUCACUCUACCUCAAUAAUCAUAGCUUAGGCCCCUAAAGACCAACCAAGAGAUUUAUCAAGUUGUAUAUGGAAAGAGUAUUGUCAUCGUAAGAGGUAUUGUCUAUUUUUUGUCUGAACUCUAGCACACAUAUAUAGUCAGGACAACAGAUUCACUGUUGUUGCAAGUGGGCUGAAAUUAAAGCUCGUUUAGAUAUCUGAGAUCAUUGGUGAUUGGAUUUUAUGAUGAAGUCAUCAUCAGCAUCUUCACUGUGCUUUUGCACUAUGCUCCACAUUCCAUGAUUUAUUAUGUUAUCUUAUCAUAAGAUUUCUUUGUUGUCUAUGGAGAUAAUAGCCCAUGCUCCAUUAACCUGCACUUGUAUCAAUGGUGUGUUUGUCAUGUAUAAUGCAGUGUUAUUACUAUAGUAAACUAGGUAGUUUUCUAACCCGUCAGCUCUGAAUGAUGAUACAAAGCUACUACUUAAAACUAUUCUAAACUGGACUGGAAUACAUUUAGGGAUCAAGCAGACUAGGUGGGGAUUCCCUCAUGGUUAGUACUACUAGCAUAGUUGAGAGAAUCGCACCUAUUUGCACAUUACAUCUACCAUAAGAGAAAUAAAUCAAAUAUACUUGCGCCUUGUAGCUAGAUACAAUUUGACACAUAUAAUCAAUGAGACAGACUAGCUGGGGACUACAACAGAAACAUGGAGCAUACUUACUAGAACCUGGUCUGAACAUAAUUGGUGGGUAUUUAAGGAUAACAGGUGGUGCACCUACAAAUUUAGCCAUCCCACUGGAGGGGGGCUGCUUGGACAGUAAUUCGGAAAAUAACCUGAGUGGUUUCUUCAGCCAAAUUUAAAGGAUCUUAGAUCGAAAUGGCAUUAUGAUUUAUGGAUCUCCCACCUCCUAUACCCUGCAAAGGAUAACACAGAAGAUUAGAUAACAUAACAUGGUUGAAGUUGAAGAGAAAUGUCAUGCUGCACACGUUGGCAGCUAGUCCUUGCUAUCAUGAACGGGUCGUCACCAAGAUUCGCGUUAGAGACAACAACACUCUCCUUAUUGAAAUGGCAAAAACAUUUGUCCACACCGUAUAACCCACAUGUCAGUAGUAUUUAGCAGGUAGGACAGAGAGAGACUUGCAACCACCAGGUGCGCACACGACACAGGGCCGAGCCCACAAGGGGACUUUUGCAACCAAAAGCUGACAUUUAUGCCCAAAGCUCCACUCCUACCACCACUCUGAGCUGGCAAAAGAUUUCAAAUUAAACCAUUCUGUACUGAUCUAACUAAGUAUGUGCCUCAUCUACCAUGUAUGGUGCAUAUAAACGAUCCAACGGUAAAUGCUAAACAAAACUGACACUAAUUAGCAAGUUGCCAUGUUAGAAAUAACUACAAAUUUGAUUGGAAGUUAGUUUGCUGGUAAUUUUGGACGGGCAAUAAAAAACUAAAUCGAUAUUUUGUAUUUGUCCUAAUUGCAAUCGCACCAGCAAUGGUUAAUUGUACAUUCGCAAUUGAUGUGCUUAAUUGAUGUGUUUGUGCUAACUGCAAUCGCAGCAACAACUAUCAAAAAACCAAAAACUACUGCCGCGUCCUAUACUAUAUUACUAUAGUAUAUUCGCUUUGGCGGCUGGAGCUAAUUUUUAUUAGUACCAUCUCUCUCUAACACGCACCAUCAUUCAUACCCAACCGUCAGUAUGGUAAAAAUCCCUCCCAUGGCUAAUGAAACGAGCAACACCGCGACACAGCAUGGCCCGCGCAUGCCAUGUUCAUGUGCGUGGGAGGCCCCAAUUCCGUCUUAUAUCUUUGUACACAGUUGUAUUGCUAACGAUGUGUGAAUUAAAAAGAUUUUCUGACACACAUCACGAGACAACUACCAGCGGUGAGAUAGUACUAACCAGCAACCACCUUGUCCAGAACGGCCGCACUCUGAAGUUGAACAACAAGCUUGCUUGGAAUCGGUACUAAUAGGUUGACAUAUGAGUAGAAGACAACAGCUGGGUCGCAGGGGAUGCUUGUUUGUAGUAAUUGAGUUGGCAAUUAAUGAGAUCCAUAAAGGUAGCAUAAAUCUGAGGAAGCUAGGUGUGGACGAGGAAUCAGAUACAGGAGAUACCUGAGGCGAACGGACGUGCAACGAGCAAGGGUGCUCGCCGGGGACCAUUGAGGAGGCGAUGCGGCCGGAGGGGGGCCAAAUCUGGAGGUGGCCACCGCCAUUGACCUUGUCGCUGCAGCAUGAUCCAGGAAAACGGAGGGAGGUGAGUGGAAACGACGACGGCAGUGAGGGGAAAGGUGGCGACCGGCUUCCCUACCGUGCCCCUCUUCGUCCUCGGCGGCGGCGGGUAGAGAGCGGCGAGAAAACAACGGGGAGGGGGCAGUCGGUACUCCACAGGGGAGGAAAAGCACCUCAGAGGCUAGAUCCGGCAGGGAGACGGGGCCGUAAAGUGCGAGCAGUGGCGGGUCAGAUCAGAUCGGAGCGGCGGUGCUAGUACAGGUGCGGCUGCGGGAGAGAAC